rnacentral:rRNA from 1 species
GACGAACGCUGGCGGCGUGCUCAACACAUGCAAGUCGAACGGAAAGGCCCUGCUUUUGUGGGGUGCUCGAGUGGCGAACGGGUGAGUAACACGUGAGUAACCUGCCCUUGACUUUGGGAUAACUUCAGGAAACUGGGGCUAAUACCGGAUAGGAGCUCCUGCUGCAUGGUGGGGGUUGGAAAGUUUCGGUGGUUGGGGAUGGACUCGCGGCUUAUCAGCUUGUUGGUGGGGUAGUGGCUUACCAAGGCUUUGACGGGUAGCCGGCCUGAGAGGGUGACCGGCCACAUUGGGACUGAGAUACGGCCCAGACUCCUACGGGAGGCAGCAGUGGGGAAUAUUGCACAAUGGGCGGAAGCCUGAUGCAGCAACGCCGCGUGCGGGAUGACGGCCUUCGGGUUGUAAACCGCUUUCGCCUGUGACGAAGCGUGAGUGACGGUAAUGGGUAAAGAAGCACCGGCUAACUACGUG